GGAAACCCAUCGUCCCAUGGCCGAUCGAAAAGGGGGAGUUGAGAGAGAGUAGGGAGAGUUUUUUUUUUUUUUAAAAAAAGGGUUAUUAAAAUGAUUUUUUAGGCUUUUUAACUUAAAUAGGGUCCCUAAAACUGUCAUUUUGGCCUUGGUUUCAGAUGCCCAAAACGGCGUCAUUUCGAGUACAACUCGAAGAUCCGAC
rnacentral:lncRNA from 1 species